rnacentral:rRNA from 1 species
UUAACUGAAGAGUUUGAUCAUGGCUCAGAUUGAACGCUGGCGGCAGGCCUAACACAUGCAAGUCGAGCGGAAACGAUCCUAGCUUGCUAGGAGGCGUCGAGCGGCGGACGGGUG